rnacentral:rRNA from 1 species
GGGGGGGGGGGGCGGGGGGGCUGGCGCGGGCGGGUCGGGCGAGGCCUUCGGGGCUAGUGGCGCGCGGGUGCGGGCCGCGUGGGAACCUGCCCUUCGGUUCGGCAUCACUCCCCGCACGGGGUGCUCCUACCGGAUAAUGUCUUCGGCCCAAAGAUUUCUCGCCUUUGGCUGGGCCCGCGUUGGAUUAGCUAGUUGGUAGGGUAACAGCCUACCAAGGCGACGAUCCAUAGCUGGUCUGAGAGGAUGAGCAGCCACACUGGGACUGAGACACGGCCCAGACUCCUACGGGAGGCAGCAGUGGGGAAUAUUGGACAAUGGGCGAAAGCCUGAGCCAGCAAUGCCGCGUGAGUGAUGAAGGCCUUAGGGUUGUAAAGCUCUUUUACCCGGGAUGAUAAUGACAGUACCGGGAGAAUAAGCGCCGGCUAACUCCGUG